rnacentral:rRNA from 1 species
CUACGUAGGGGCAGCAGUGUUCGGUUCGAAUUGUGGCGUAAAGAGCUCGUAGGCGGUCUGUUGCGUCCGCUGUGAAAACUCGGGGCUUAACCCCGAGCCUGCAGUGGAUACGGGCAGACUAGAGGUAGGUAGGGGAGAAUGGAAUUCCCGGUGUAGCGGUGAAAUGCGCAGAUAUCGGGAGGAACACCGGUGGCGAAGGCGGUUCUCUGGGCCUUACCUGACGCUGAGGAGCGAAAGCGUGGGGAGCAAACAGG